rnacentral:lncRNA from 1 species
GGGAGAGUUACAGGCUUCAGACUUUAUCUCGUUGUGGAAAGCAAGAGACCAAGCCAAAAACUUUGGUCGUGCUUUUCAACAUCUCCGGUCAAAAGAGGUAGGAUCCCUGCUCGUUUAUCUGCAAAAGCGACAUUUAAAAGAAACGCCCCCCACCCCCUCCCCGAUGGUUUCACUCGGUUCAUGUUGCACACACAGGUCGCCAAUCUGCUUUUCUCCCAUUGCUGCGUCUUAGAGGGGUGUGGUGCCAUGAUACCACUUUUGAAAAUCCUGUUGAAUGCAAGUCCUCUUUGUUGCUCAUUGAACAAUGAGGAUAUUUAGCUCCCCUCAGAGCUACCCUCAGAGUUGGAUGAG